GUGCCAGCAGCCGCGGUAAUACGAAGGUCCCAAGCGUUAUCCGGAUUUAUUGGGUUUAAAGGGUGCGUAGGCGGGUUAUUAAGUCAGUGGUGAAAGCUCCAUGCCUAACAUGGAAAUUGCCAUUGAUACUGAUGAUCUUGAGUACAUUUGAAGUGGGCGGAAUGUGUCAUGUAGUGGUGAAAUACUUAGAUAUGACACAGAACACCGAUUGCGUAGGCAGCUCACUAAACUGUAACUGACGCUGAGGCACGAAAGCGUGGGGAGCAAACAGGAUUAGAUACCCUGGUAGUCC
rnacentral:rRNA from 1 species